UUGUGCUUCCUGCCCACGGCUGGGACCGUCCAGGCCUCCCUCCACUUGAGAGUCACCUAGCAGAAAGGCUCCGGGGUUGCAAAGCCACCGGAAUGGCUGUCCUUUCUUCUUACACCGAGGAACAGCGGAAGGGAACUUCAUAGCUUCCUGCACAUUUACAGACUCUUUUUCAACUGAGGUACAAGGAUGACCACUCAGAUGAGGUUCCAUUCACCCCAGACCACUCUUGAGCCUUGGGGACAGACUCACGAUGGAUUCUAGUUCCUUUUGUCGCCCGCAGCCUAACAAAACCAUAAUCAAGUUGUUGGGCCUCAGCUCCCACGUCCCCUGCCUCCUGGCCAACCCUGCUGCUUCCUGUGUGGUCCUGCCUGGCAUGCUGUGUUCUCA